AAAAUAAAAAUAAAAAUAAAAAAGGGGUUAAACCCUAAAAACUGAAGCGCCCUGGGUUAGGGGUUUCAUGUCAAUGGGUCUCAGAGGAAUAACUUACUGACCAUUCUCAACAUGGGUGCGAAAGGCGCAGUGAAGAGUUUGGAACCUGAGCUGAAUGAUGAACAAGAGGAAGAAGAAACCGGUAGGAGCACGACUUCUAAAUCUAGGACUCAAGCGAGAGCGCAGAUGAAGCAACUAGAUAGACUUAAGGAAAAGCUGGUUGCUGCUUGGAACCUGGAAGCUGGUUGCUUGUUGUAUGCGAGAGGAGUUUUAUUGUUUGCUGGAAGCUGAUUGAUGGUUGGAACUGCUGGUUGGUUGUUGCUUGUAUGCUGGUAGCUUGGAAUGACAUUGAUAAAAAAGGACAGCUUUCUGAAAUUGAUUACAUAUACAUUAAUGUAAUGUAAUGGAAUGGAAUGACGUUGAUUUUGAUACAUGAAAUUUGUAUUGUAGACAAC